rnacentral:rRNA from 1 species
CCUACGGGAGGCAGCAGUGGGGAAUAUUGCACAAUGGGGGAAACCCUGAUGCAGCAACGCCGCGUGAGCGAUGAAGGCCUUCGGGUCGUAAAGCUCUGUCCUAAGGGAAGAAUACUGACGGUACCUUAGGAGGAAGCCCCGGCUAACUACGUGCCAGCAGCCGCGGUAAUACGUAGGGGGCUAGCGUUAUCCGGAAUUACUGGGCGUAAAGGGUGCGUAGGCGGCCCUUCAAGUCAGAGGUGAAAGGCUACGGCUCAACUGUAGUAAGCCUUUGAAACUGUCUUACUAGGGUGCAGGAGAGAAAAGCGGAAGUCCGAGGGUAGCGGUGAAAUGGGUAGAGAGUAGGAAGAACACCAGGGGCGAAGGCGGCUUUGUGGACUGUAACUGACGCUGAGGCACGAAAGCGGGGGGAGCGAACAGGAUUAGAUACCCUAGUAGUG